rnacentral:lncRNA from 1 species
GAGGUUUGUGAAACCAUUCCUUUCUAAAUUGCCAACUUCUAGGGUUUUCAUGAAAGCUUGAUGGCCAUCAGACUUCUUCAAGAUAUGCCACCUUUAAAGCAAUUAGAAAAUAAACAGGAAUUCCAGUGCAAUCACUCAAAAUAUGACCGUAACCUUUUGACUUUGGAUCCAUGAUCACCUGCAAAGAGGAGCUCAAGGGACACGUUAUAUGACAAAUGGGGUUAUAACGUUUAAAAAAAAAAAAGAAAAAAAAGAGGACCUUUUGUUAAGCAUAACAUUUUCCACGCGAGUACUUAGGAGCAUUCUAAUUUUCAACUUUUCUUUUAAACUUAAAAGAUCCAAAAUCAAGAUAUGAAAAGCAGUUGAAAAUGUAACAACGUGUAGAUUUUUCAAAACCAGAAUCUCAAAUCAGGUUUUGAAAUUUAGUCGAGACCAAGAACUAACAAGCAUUCUUAAGAAAGCAAAAGGCUUUGAGAAAAUUAUGAUAUUUCGUCGCUUAUUUGAUGGGUGCAGAAUCUUGUGCGCCUCAUGGCAAUUUCCGAUGAGCGCGCCUGUAUUAAUAAGAAAGCAGUUUAAAAAAGCUUCGACGGUAGUUAAGUUCAUCAUAUAGGUCAAGAAAAUGAAUUAGUAUGUGCUGGUCAGCUAGAGAAACUAAAUUGGUGAGCAUAUGUAGUUUGGAAUGAAUGAGAUCGAUCCAUCCUAUUCCGGUGUGGGUGGAUUACACUUACUUGGGUGAUGAGGAACAGUUGCAGACGGCCGGGGGCCGCCUGCCUCUUUGUGCAGGACAGGAGCAGUACCAAGUCUUCUUCGAAAUUAUGUAGAUUGUUUGUGGGACUGGAGCACCUGUGACUUUCUGUCCAUGUCCACAAUUGAUCAAAGCAUCUGGAUCAGUCAUACUAUGGUUUUUGGUGGGCGCCAUCAUCUGCCUUGCCAACCAUUGAUGUUCUUUCUUUUUGUCCCAAUUCAACAAACAGAUCAUAAGCUUCUCUCUUUCUCUUUUUUUUUUUUUGGGUUUUCUUUU